rnacentral:rRNA from 1 species
GGCAAACGGGAGAGUAACACAUUGGUAACUUACCCUGGGGAUGGGAAUAACCCGCCGAAAGGCGGGAUAAUACCCAAUAACAGUGGGGGGACUCAAGUCAUUCCCACUUAAAGCUCCGACGCCCCGGGAGAGGCCUAUGUCCUAUCAGCUUGUUGGUGAGGUAAAAGCUCACCAAGGCGACGACGGGUAGCCGGUGUGAGAGCAUGACCCGCCUCACUGGGACUGAGACACUGCCCAGACUCCUACGGGAGGCUGCAGUCAAGAAUCUUCCUCAAUGGCCGAAAGGCUGAAGGAGCGACGCCGCGUGCAAGAUGAAGCCCUUCGGGGCGUAAAUUGCUUUUCUCUGGGACGAAUCCAUGACUGUACCAGAGGAAUAAGGAGCCGCUAACCUCGUGCCAGCAGCGGCGGUAAUACGA